UAAACGGCGGCCGUAACUAUAACGGUCCUAAGGUAGCGAAAUUCCUUGUCGGGUAAGUUCCGACCUGCACGAAUGGCAUAAUGAUGGCGGCGCUGUCUCCAGCAGAGGCUCAGUGAAAUCGAAAUCGCUGUGAAGAUGCAGUGUACCCGCGGCUAGACGGAAAGACCCCGUGAACCUUUACUGCAGCUUGACACUGAACUUUGACCUUACUUGUGUAGGAUAGGUGGGAGGCUUUGAAGCUGGAACGCUAGUUCCAGUGGAGCCGUCCUUGAAAUACCACCCUGGUAAUGUUGAGGUUCUAACUCUGUCCCGUGAUCCGGGACGAGGACCGUGUCUGGUGGGUAGUUUGACUGGGGCGGUCUCCUCCUAAAGAGUAACGGAGGAGUACGAAGGUGCGCUCAGCGUGGUCGGAAAUCACGCGUAGAGUAUAAAGGCAAAAGCGCGCUUAACUGCGAGACCCACAAGUCGAGCAGGUACGAAAGUAGGUCUUAGUGAUCCGGUGGUUCUGUAUGGAAGGGCCAUCGCUCAACGGAUAAAAGGUACUCUGGGGAUAACAGGCUGAUACCGCCCAAGAGUUCAUAUCGACGGCGGUGUUUGGCACCUCGAUGUCGGCUCAUCUCAUCCUGGGGCUGAAGCAGGUCCCAAGGGUAUGGCUGUUCGCCAUUUAAAGAGGUACGCGAGCUGGGUUUAGAACGUCGUGAGACAGUUCGGUCCCUAUCUACCGUGGGCGCUGGAAAUUUGAGAGGAUCUGCUCCUAGUACGAGAGGACCAGAGUGGACGAACCUCUGGUGUACCGGUUGUGACGCCAGUCGCAUCGCCGGGUAGCUAUGUUCGGAAGGGAUAACCGCUGAAAGCAUCUAAGCGGGAAGCCUACCUCAAGAUAAGAUUUCCCUAGGACUUUAUGUCCUCUAAAGAGCCGUUCGAGACUAGGACGUUGAUAGGUUGGAUGUGGAAGCAUAGUGAUAUGUGAAGCUGACCAAUACUAAUUGCUCGUGAGGCUUGACUAUACAACACCCAAGCAGUUG
rnacentral:rRNA from 1 species